CUCCGCCCUCCUUCCCCCCGCCCCGACCCAAAAGCCUAGCUAGCCCCUGCCUCUCCCCCGUCGUGGCCGAGCGAGACUCUCCGGCCCAAUGGCGUCGGCGGACAUGUUCCCCAACGUCUCCUCCUCCGACGUCAAGCCGCCGCCUCGCAGGAGGCCCCCGGCAAGGCCGUGUUCGGCCUGGACCCCGCCUCUCCGGGGCGGCGUGCCUCGUCAGCCCCGGGGCGGAGCAGGCCUUCGAGACCGACCUCUCCGACGCGCAGAUAUGCAGAUAUUCAAGCUGGGGCGGACGGAGUGUAUGUGCGUGAGCAGCGAGACGGCGGCUAUGGCUGGCGCGGAAGAGGUAGUACUCUUCAGUUGGAUGUACCCCAGUUCGGUUUUACUUAGUUUUGUGCUCCUGUUUGGAUGUACCCCAGUUGAAAAUGUGUGGUGCUCGCUUUGCCUAAUUUUCUGUUUAAGGAUUAUAGUUUUUGCCGGGCAGAUGCUAUGUAGAGAAUCAGUUAAUUUCCUCUAGAAAUGCUCAAAUGGUGAUUUGGCGAAAUUUGGAAACACCAGUUCUGCAUCAUGGCAUGGAUAGGGUAGAUUGCAUUGCAUUUUCAAUUUAGGGGCAUACUAUUUUUUGGCACGUUUUAUACUAGUGACUCGAUCAUUGAUCAAUAGUUAGAUGAAAUUGUAGGAUGAUCCAGGGAUGACUCUUCUAAAUGUGUUAUAAUGUAGCUUCACAUUUGUAUAAAAAAAGCAAGCACUCUCGAAACCUUUUUCUGUUUGCCAAGGAUUGUGGUGCUAGCUAUUCUGGAAUAGAGCCUAAUAAAAACUCUGAAUACUUUGUCUUGAUUUGGUGUAAAGAUCGACCCCUGCCGUGUAACUCUGGCUAGUGCUUUGUUUCAUAAGGCUGUGCCUUGUGUGACUGCAUGGUUGGAACUUGGAAAAAUGUUUUGGACCUUGUAUACAGAGUGAUGUGUCGGCAAUGUUGUGAAUCCGUGUUGACAAUACCAACAAUUUAUCAGCAAAUAAAGAACAGGUCACACUGUAUAGGCAGUCAGUUUGACAACAUCUGUAUUCCAGAGUUCACAAGCAGUUUGGCUCCGCCUGAAAUGUUGUAAGACAACGAGCUUGCAUGUAUUGUUCUUUAAAAUCAUUUAAAAGUUACUCGCUGCUGCUUGACUUCUUGAACAUUUUCUAGGAUUCAUGACUCCAUUUUCGGAUGAAUAACUUCAUGUUGAAAUGGCAAACGAGAUAACUUGUACAAUGUAUUUGUCAAUGUACUGAGACGAUGAGGUGGAUCAUUGCAAGACGGUGAAGGCCUGUCAAACGCAUGAAACACUCUGUUCUCCUCACUCCGUGCAGAGCCGCAUGGAAGCUGAUCCAGAACGAUCGUGUCGAGAAGUUGCAAAUGAUGAUCGACCGGCUGUACCUCCGUGCUAGAGCAUUGUAGAAUAGCAUGCUAAAUUUUGGUGAUAUAUUGUAUUCCAUCUUGGUUUCAUUUCCUUCUCUCUGUACGUAGACAUUGAUUAGCACAGACUUCUGCUGAUAUAUUGCAUUCCAUCUUUGUUUCA